CGCUUCCUAUGUUCCCCGUGCUUUUGACUUGAAUUGAAGUUCAGGGGACUUUUGGAAACGAUUAAAAGACGUUCGUAAACGAUGCCAGGUUGUGCUGUAUUUGGUUGUUCCAAUAGAGGCGAAGGUGGAUUUCGCAUGUUAGCAUUUCCACGCAGUGAAGAAAUACGAAAGCAGUGGGCAGUCGCAGUCAACAGGGCUGACAUAAAUCAAACAGGAGCCUUGUGGAAAUCAACCAAGUACUCUUAUCUAUGCGAAAACCCGCAGAGGAAGCUAUUGGCAAGUCCGAAGAAGUUGCUGAAGUGACUCGCAAGCCACAUACUGUUCAAAGGAAAUCUGCAGAACCAAGUCACAUGACUUCAACCUCCAGCCGAUAGUACGUGUUAAAAUUUCUUGACCGCUUUGUCAAGUCAGAAAAGCUCCGAAAGUAUAAAAAUGAUUGCAAGCGAGGACCUGGGAGUGACAAGGUAAAAGACCACAAGAAA